GACGAACGCUGGCGGCGUGCUUAACACAUGCAAGUCGAACGGAAAGACCCUGCUUUUGUGGGGCGCUCGAGUGGCGAACGGGUGUGUAACACGUGAGUAACCUCUCCUUGUCUUUGGGAUAACUUCAGGAAACUGGGGCUAAUACCGGAUAGGAGCUCCUGCUGCAUGGUGGGGGAUGGAAAGUUUCGGCGGUUGGGGAUGGACUCGCGGCUUAUCAGCUUGUUGGUGGGGUAGUGGCUUACCAAGGCUUUGACGGGUAGCCGGCCUGAGAGGGUGGCCGGCCACAUUGGGACUGAGAUACGGCCCAGACGCCUACGGGAGGCAGCAGUGGGGAAUAUUGCACAAUGGGCGGAAGCCUGAUGCAGCGACGCCGCGUGCGGGAUGACGGCCUUCGGGUUGUAAACCGCUUUCGCCUGUGACGAAGCGUGAGUGACGGUAAUUGGUAAAGAAGCACCGGCUAACUACGUG
rnacentral:rRNA from 1 species